GAUGAACGCUGGCGGCGUGCCUAAUACAUGCAAGUCGAGCGAACGGACGAGAAGCUUGCUUCUCUGAUGUUAGCGGCGGACGGGUGAGUAACACGUGGAUAACCUACCUAUAAGACUGGGAUAACUUCGGGAAACCGGAGCUAAUACCGGAUAAUAUUUUGAACCGCAUGGUUCAAAAGUGAAAGACGGUCUUGCUGUCACUUAUAGAUGGAUCCGCGCUGCAUUAGCUAGUUGGUAAGGUAACGGCUUACCAAGGCAACGAUGCAUAGCCGACCUGAGAGGGUGAUAGGCCACCCUGGAACGGAGACACGGUCAAGAGUACUAAGGGAGGCAGCAGUAGGGAAUCUUACGCAGUGGGCGAAAGCAUGACGGAGCAACGGCGAGUGAGUGAUGACGGUCUUCGGAUCGUAAAACUCUGUUAUUAGGGAAGAACAUAUGUGUAAGUAACUGAGCACAUAUUGACGGUACCUAAUCAGAAAGCCACGGCUAACUACGUG
rnacentral:rRNA from 1 species